UGCAGUCGAGCGGUAACAGAAAGUAGCUUGCUACUUUGCUGACGAGCGGCGGACGGGUGAGUAAUGCUUGGGAACAUGCCUUGAGGUGGGGGACAACAGUUGGAAACGACUGCUAAUACCGCAUAAUGUCUACGGACCAAAGGGGGCUUCGGCUCUCGCCUUUAGAUUGGCCCAAGUGGGAUUAGCUAGUUGGUGAGGUAAUGGCUCACCAAGGCAACGAUCCCUAGCUGGUUUGAGAGGAUGAUCAGCCACACUGGAACUGAGACACGGUCCAGACUCCUACGGGAGGCAGCAGUGGGGAAUAUUGCACAAUGGGCGAAAGCCUGAUGCAGCCAUGCCGCGUGUGUGAAGAAGGCCUUCGGGUUGUAAAGCACUUUCAGUCAGGAGGAAAGGGUGUGAGUUAAUACCUCACAUCUGUGACGUUACUGACAGAAGAAGCACCGGCUAACUCCGUGCCAGCAGCCGCGGUAAUACGGAGGGUGCGAGCGUUAAUCGGAAUUACUGGGCGUAAAGCGUACGCAGGCGGUUUGUUAAGCGAGAUGUGAAAGCCCCGGGCUCAACCUGGGAACUGCAUUUCGAACUGGCAAACUAGAGUGUGAUAGAGGGUGGUAGAAUUUCAGGUGUAGCGGUGAAAUGCGUAGAGAUCUGAAGGAAUACCGAUGGCGAAGGCAGCCACCUGGGUCAACACUGACGCUCAUGUACGAAAGCGUGGGGAGCAAACGGGAUUAGAUACCCCGGUAGUCCACGCCGUAAACGAUGUCUACUAGAAGCUCGGAACCUCGGUUCUGUUUUUCAAAGCUAACGCAUUAAGUAGACCGCCUGGGGAGUACGGGCCGCAAGGUUAAAACUCAAAUGAAUUGACGGGGGCCCGCACAAGCGGUGGAGCAUGUGGUUUAAUUUCGAUGCACGCGAAGAACCUUACCUACACUUGACAUACAGAGAACUUACUAGAGAUAGAUUGGUGCGUCCGGACUCUGAUACAGGUGCUGCAUGCUGUCGUCAGCUCGUGUGUGAGAUGUGGGUAGGUCCCGCACGAGCGCCACCCUAUCCUAGUUGCUAGCAGGUAAUGCUGGAAAGCGUCUAGCGAACUGCUGGUCAUAACUGAGAUGUGGGACGA
rnacentral:rRNA from 1 species